rnacentral:lncRNA from 1 species
ACUGAUCAUUUGAUUAACUAAAUUUAACAGGCAUAAUGUAAUAUGGAAAUAUAAAAUGGGAGCAAAAUAUUGUUUUUUUUCUUCAAAACGGGAGCAAAUUAGUUGUAGGAUCAUUUUUAGCAGCUCGAUCAGAACUCUGGAAAGAAACUAUGGUGUAUGUGUAUCAUGUUUCUGACUUAAUUAAAAUGACCGGAGUAUCAGAGAGCAGUUAUGGCAGUUGCAUAUAUGUCUGGAAAAAAAAAAUCUGAAAUCAAAAUCAAAAUGAAGAUCGAGAUCGCUCGAGAGGAGCAGAGAUCGAAGAGUGACAAGACAACAUGGCAUUUGUACAAUUUGCAGUAGCGUGGCGCCCAC